AGCAGCCGCGGUAAUUCCAGCUCCAAUAGCGUAUAUUAAAGUUGUUGCAGGUUAAAAAGCUCGUAGUUGAAUUUCGGGAUUGACGUGACGGUCAUGCCUUAAGGGGUAUGAACUGUUACAGUUGAUUUCUCACCUUCUGGAGAAACUUGAUGUCCUUUAUUGGGUGUCUUGCGGAUCCAGGACCUUUACCUUGAAAAAAAUUGAGUGUUUAAAGCAGGCAUUUUUGCUCGAAUACAUUAGCAUGGAAUAAUAGAAUAGGACGGCAUGGUUCUAUUUUGUUGGUUCUAGGAUCACCGUAAUGAUUAAUAGGGAUAGUUGGGGCAUUAGUAU
rnacentral:rRNA from 1 species